rnacentral:rRNA from 1 species
UGGGGAAUAUUGGACAAUGGGCGAAAGCCUGAUCCAGCCAUGCCGCGUGAGUGAUGAAGGCCUUAGGGUUGUAAAGCUCUUUUAUGAGGGAAGAUGAUGACGGUACCUCAAGAAUAAGCACCGGCUAACUUCGUGCCAGCAGCCGCGGUAAUACGAAGGGUGCUAGCGUUGUUCGGAAUUACUGGGCGUAAAGCGCGCGUAGGCGGCGUCGCAAGUCAGAGGUGAAAUCCCAGGGCUUAACCCUGAAAUUGCCUUUGAAACUGCGAUGCUAGAGUGUCGGAGGGGAUGGUGGAAUUCCAAAUGUAGCGGUGAAAUGCGUAGAUAUUUGGAGGAACACCGGUGGCGAAGGCGACCAUCUGGACGACAACUGACGCUGAGGCGCGAAAGCGUGGGUAGCAAACAGG